AUGCCGGCUCCGUCCUGCUCCGAAAUGCUCUCCGGGAACACGGGCGUCGCACUCCUGCCCCCCAGUCCGCAGCCGGCCCGGCCCGUCUCUCUCCAUCCCGGGUUUGUAUCCCAGGGCUGCUGUCCCAGAGGGGCCGCAGCAGAUCUGGGCCCCAGCUGGGCUUUGGACGUGGCUCCUCAUCCCUGCUCAGCUGCUGGUAGGAGGCCAUGGAGAUGUUCCUCCUCGGGGCGUCUGAUGGCUUCAGCCUGCCCCUUUGCCAUCUCCAUCCCGAUCCGCAUCACCACCACCGUUCCCGUUGCCGCCCCUGACAUGACCGCCAUCCCCGUCCCUGUCAUCGUCGCCAUCCCCGUGCCCAUCACCAUCACCUCCUCACCGUUGUCACCGUCCCGUUCCCAUCGUGAUCCCCAUCUUCAUCGCCAUCCCCAGCCCUGUUGUCACCAUCCCCAUGCCCAUCGCUCCCCCGCACUGUUACCAUCCCCAGCAAGAUCCCCAGCCCUGUUGUCAUCACCAUCCCCAUGCCCAUCACCAUCCCAUCUCCAUGACUGUCACCAUCCCAUCCCCAUCAUGAUCCCCAUCAUUGUCAUCGUCACCAUCACCGUGCCCAUCACCUCCCUUCCACUGCCCUCAACCCCAUCUCAAUCCCCAUCCUCCUCCCCAUCCCCAUCUCCCAUCCCCAUCACCAUCUCCAUCCCCAUCCCCAACACCAUCACUGUCUCCAUCACCAUCUCCAUCCCCAUCACCAUCACCAUCUCCAACCCCAUCAUCCCAUCCCCAUCUCCAUCCCCAUCACCAUCUCCAUCACCAUCACCAUCCCCAUCCCCAUCACCAUCUCCAUCCCCAUCCCCAUCUCCAUCCCCAUCACCAUCUCCAUCCCGAUCAUCAUCUCCAUCCCCAUCACCAUCUCCAUCUCCAACCCCAUCAUCCCAUCCCCAUCUCCAUCUCCAUCCCCAUCUCCAUCACCAUCUCCAGCCCCAUCACCAUCUCCAUCUCCAACCCCAUCAUCCCAUCACCAUCUCCAUCCCCAUCCCCACCACCAUCCCCAUCCCUCUUACGGCCCCG
rnacentral:lncRNA from 1 species